UACGUAGGGGGCGAGCGUUGUCCGGAUUUAUUGGGCGUAAAGAGCGUGUAGGCGGCCAGGUAGGUCCGUUGUGAAAACUCGAGGCUCAACCUCGAGACGUCGAUGGAAACCAUCUGGCUAGAGUCCGGAAGAGGAGAGUGGAAUUCCUGGUGUAGCGGUGAAAUGCGCAGAUAUCAGGAAGAACACCAAUGGCGAAAGCAGCUCUCUGGGACGGUACUGACGCUGAGACGCGAAAGCGUGGGGAGCGAACAGG
rnacentral:rRNA from 1 species